UCUAUAGAGUAAAACUUUUUUAAAAAUUUCUUCAUAAAGUUUUUACAUAGGUAGAGUUAGACUGGUUAAUAUAAUUUGAAACAAAUAACAGCAUAAGUUGCAAUAUCAUCUUGUUUCAAAGAGAAACCUAUCAAAGAUUUUAUUGUAUAUAUGUUUGAGAAUGCACAACCAUUAAUGAAAAUGUUCAAUUAGAGCUAAUAAACAGAGGUUGAUUAUAACUUUUCUAUCAAUUAUAAAUAUUAUAAUUUUAUAACUUUGUUUAAGAACUGAUUUCCUAAAAUGACUUAUGACAAAAUAAAUUGUCACAUGGUGACAUGACUACUUCAGUAACUAACCCGUAUUUGGCUUGGACAGAUCUGGCCCAGGUGAGGCAUGCCUCAUGUGAACCGUGCCAUCACUGCCAGAUCUUUCCUGAGUCUGGCUGACAUCCAAUUUGCCAUGCCAGAGGUUUGCCAGAUGUGUCAGCAGAAUGCCAGAUCCGGUUCAGGUCGGUCUGCUGUGUGGGAACCGGCGAAGGCUCGCUCCUCUGGUCACCGUUUGCUCGAUUACCUGUCCGCCCUCCAACACCACCUCCACCAGCGAUCUACACCAAACUCUGAGACUCCACACGCCACCAACAAGCAGCCUCGACUCCAGCAGCCCCCACCGCUUCUUCCUCCCUGGCAGGUUAACUGCAUUUCAUCAAGAUGCAGUCGAUCCUAUACAGUGGACUCCGGGACAAGAUUCACAUUUCAUUCAAUUCUCUGGACAAAAUAAACUGUAUUGAACUGA